rnacentral:rRNA from 2 species
GCCCGUACCGUAAACCGACACAGGUGGGUGGGAUGAGUAUUCUAAGGCGCGUGGAAGAACUCUCUUCAAGGAACUCUGCAAAAUAGCACCGUAUCUUCGGUAUAAGGUGUGCCUAACUUUGUGAAGGAUUUACUCCGUAAGCAUUGAAGGUUACAACAAAGAGUCCCUCCCGACUGUUUACCAAAAACACAGCACUCUGCUAACUCGUAAGAGGAUGUAUAGGGUGUGACGCCUGCCCGGUGCUCGAAGGUUAAUUGAUGACGUUAGCUCUGCGAAGCGUUUGAUCGAAGCCCGAGUAAACGGCGGCCGUAACUAUAACGGUCCUAAGGUAGCGAAAUUCCUUGUCGAUUAAAUAUCGACCUGCAUGAAUGGCGUAACGAGAUGGGAGCUGUCUCGAAGAGGGAUCCAGUGAAAUUGUAGUGGAGGUGAAAAUUCCUCCUACCCGCGGCAAGACGGAAAGACCCCGUGGACCUUUACUACAGCUUGACACUGCUAUUGGGAUAAAAAUGUGCAGGAUAGGUGGGAGGCUUUGAUCCAUAGACGCCAGUUUAUGGUGAGCCGUUGUUGAGAUACCACUCUUUUUUAUUCUGAUAGCUAACUAGCUUGAGUUAUCCUCAAGUAGGACAAUGUCUGGUGGGUAGUUUGACUGGGGCGGUCGCCUCCCAAAAUGUAACGGAGGCUUACAAAGGUUGGCUCAGAACGGUUGGAAAUCGUUCGCAGAGUAUAAAGGCAAAAGCCAGCUUAACUGCGAGACAUACACGUCAAGCAGGGACGAAAGUCGGUCUUAGUGAUCCGGUGGUUCUGUGUGGAAGGGCCAUCGCUCAAAGGAUAAAAGGUACCCCGGGGAUAACAGGCUGAUCUCCCCCAAGAGCUCACAUCGACGGGGAGGUUUGGCACCUCGAUGUCGGCUCAUCGCAUCCUGGGGCUGGAGCAGGUCCCAAGGGUAUGGCUGUUCGCCAUUUAAAGCGGUACGCGAGCUGGGUUCAGAACGUCGUGAGACAGUUCGGUCCCUAUCUGCCGUGGGCGUAAGAAGAUUGAGGAGAGUUGACCCUAGUACGAGAGGACCGGGUUGAACCGACCACUGGUGUACCGGUUGUUCUGCCAAGAGCACCGCCGGGUAGCUAAGUCGGGAUGCGAUAAGAGCUGAAAGCAUCUAAGCUCGAAGCCGACUCCAAGAUGAAUCUUCUUUUAAGAGCUCUAGUAGACUACUAGUUUGAUAGGCCGGAUGUGUAAUGGAUGAAAGUCCUUUAGCUGACCGGUACUAAUAGCUCGUUUGCUUAUCUUU